GACGAACGCUGGCGGCGUGCUUAACACAUGCAAGUCGAACGGUGAAAGCGGAGCUUGCUCCGCUGGAUCAGUGGCGAACGGGUGAGUAACACGUGGGCAACCUGCCCCUCACUUCGGGAUAACUCCGGGAAACCGGGGCUAAUACCGGAUAUGACCUCCUUGGGCAUCCUUGGAGGUGGAAAGUUUUUCGGUGAGGGAUGGGCCCGCGGCCUAUCAGCUUGUUGGUGAGGUAGUGGCUCACCAAGGCGACGACGGGUAGCCGGCCUGAGAGGGCGGCCGGCCACACUGGGACUGAGACACGGCCCAGACUCCUACGGGAGGCAGCAGUGGGGAAUAUUGCGCAGUGGGCGAAAGCCUGACGCAGCAACGCCGCGUGCGGGAUGACGGCCUUCGGGUUGUAAACCGCUUUCAGCAGGGAAGAAGCCGCAAGGUGACGGUACCUGCAGAAGAAGCACCGGCUAACUACGUGCCAGCCGCCGCAGUAA
rnacentral:rRNA from 1 species